rnacentral:rRNA from 1 species
AAUACUUAGGAAUCUGCCUAUUAGUGGGGGACAACAUUUCGAAAGGAAUGCUAAUACCGCAUACGCCCUACGGGGGAAAGCAGGGGCUCUUCGGACCUUGCGCUAAUAGAUGAGCCUAAGUCAGAUUAGCUAGUUGGUGGGGUAAAGGCCUACCAAGGCGACGAUCUGUAACGGGUCUGAGAGGAUGAUCCGUCACACUGGGACUGAGACACGGCCCAGACUCCUACGGGAGGCAGCAGUGGGGAAUAUUGGACAAUGGGGGCAACCCUGAUCCAGCCAUGCCGCGUGUGUGAAGAAGGCCUUUUGGUUGUAAAGCACUUUAAGCGAGGAGGAGGCUCCUGUAGAUAAUACCUACAGUGAGUGGACGUUACUCGCAGAAUAAGCACCGGCUAACUCUGUGCCAGCAGCCGCGGUAAUACAGAGGGUGCGAGCGUUAAUCGGAUUUACUGGGCGUAAAGCGCGCGUAGGCGGUUUUUUAAGUCAGAGGUGAAAGCCCAGUGCUCAACACUGGAACUGCCUUUGAAACUGGAAAACUUGAAUCUUGGAGAGGUCAGUGGAAUUCCGAGUGUAGAGGUGAAAUUCGUAGAUAUUCGGAAG